rnacentral:rRNA from 1 species
CACGGGGGGUGCAAGCAUUAAUCGGAAUUAUUGGGCGUAAAGAGUUCGUAGGUUGUUUGAUAAGUCAGUUGUGAAAUACCAGACCUUAAGUUUGGAACUGCAACAGAUACUGUCUUUCUAGAGCUUUAUAGAGGGUUAUGGAAUUCCUAGUGUAGCGGUGAAAUGCUUAGAUAUUAGGAGGAACACCAAUAGCGAAGGCAGUAGCCUGGGUAAAGCUGACACUGAGGAACGAAAGCGUAGGUAGCAAACAGG